rnacentral:misc_RNA from 1 species
CAUGGGGGUUUAUUUUUGCAGGCUUCUUCUUCUACAGAAGGUCAGCUCCCCUGAAAUGUAUUAGUGGUAUCUGAGCUACUGCUAUAGGUGUGAUAAUUAUCUAUGCCUUUGGUAUGCUGCAUGAACAGAUUGCACUGCUUAUAACAACUGAAUUUGACAAAUCUGACCUCAAAUCAGGUAGGACUACCCGCUGAACUUAA